AUUGAACGCUGGCGGCAUGCUUUACACAUGCAAGUCGAACGGGCUUAGGUGCUUGCACCUAAGUUAGUGGCGAACGGGUGAGUAAUGCAUCGGAACGUACCGUGUAGUGGGGGAUAACCCGGCGAAAGUCGGAUUAAUACCGCAUACGAUCUAAGGAUGAAAGCAGGGGAUCGCAAGACCUUGCGCUAUACGAGCGGCCGAUGUCGGAUUAGCUAGUUGGUAGGGUAAAGGCCUACCAAGGCAACGAUCCGUAGCGGGUCUGAGAGGAUGAUCCGCCACACUGGGACUGAGACACGGCCCAGACUCCUACGGGAGGCAGCAGUGGGGAAUUUUGGACAAUGGACGAAAGUCUGAUCCAGCCAUGCCGCGUGAGUGAAGAAGGCCUUCGGGUUGUAAAGCUCUUUUGUCCGGGAGCAAAUCCUGUUCACUAAUACUGAGCGGGGCUGAGAGUACCGGAAGAAUAAGCACCGGCUAACUACGUGCCAGCCGCCGCAGUAAGAC
rnacentral:rRNA from 1 species